rfam:Aphanomyces invadans strain NJM9701 unplaced genomic scaffold supercont1.19, whole genome shotgun sequence.
UUGAUGUGAUGUCGAAAGAUAAUCCAACUCUGAAGCUUACAUGUUGACCAAACAAUCUAGAGCUUUUUAACCCUGAUCAAC